GGCUGGGUAGCAAAGUGGUUAUGCAGCGGACUGCAACUCCGUUUACGCCGGUUCGAAUCCGACCCCAGCCUCCA
rnacentral:tRNA from 1 species